rnacentral:rRNA from 1 species
UGGGGAAUAUUGGACAAUGGGCGAAAGCCUGAUCCAGACAUGCCGCGUGUGUGAAGAAGGUCUUCGGAUUGUAAAGCACUUUAAGUUGGGAGGAAGGGCAGUAAGCGAAUACCUUGCUGUUUUGACGUUACCGACAGAAUAAGCACCGGCUAACUCUGUGCCAGCAGCCGCGGUAAUACAGAGGGUGCAAGCGUUAAUCGGAAUUACUGGGCGUAAAGCGCGCGUAGGUGGUUCGUUAAGUUGAAUGUGAAAGCCCCGGGCUCAACCUGGGAACUGCAUCCAAAACUGGCGAGCUAGAGUAGGGCAGAGGGUGGUGGAAUUUCCUGUGUAGCGGUGAAAUGCGUAGAUAUAGGAAGGAACACCAGUGGCGAAGGCGACCACCUGGGCUCAUACUGACACUGAGGUGCGAAAGCGUGGGGAGCAAACAGG